UACGAGUGGUCCAAGCGUUAUCCGGAAUUAUUGGGCGUAAAGGAUGUGUAGGUGGUUAUGUUAGUCUGGUGUCUAACCUCUGAGCUCAACUUGGAGACAGCAUUGGAAACGGCAUGGCUAGAGUAUGUGAGGGGUAAGCGGAACUAAUAGUGUAGGGGUGAAAUCCGUAGAGAUCGGAAGGAACACCAGUGGCGAAGGCGGCUACCUGGCCUAAUACUGACACUGAGGCACGAAAGCGUGGGGAGCAAACAGG
rnacentral:rRNA from 1 species